ensembl:lncRNA
UGCAAGAUUACACCCUCCUCCACUCCUUCGAGAAGCAAAGAUCUUAACCGCGGAGUGUUUCUCAUCCCCAACGCUGGCGGUCGAAGACAUCACUGUCUAAUCUCUCGCGUUCCUUCUGCUAGUUCCUCACAGGCGGGGCUCGUGAAUUCUGUUAGGACAGCCGCACAACCCGGUUACAGUGCAUAAUCAGAAUUAAUCGCUGGAGGAAGAUCAAUGAUGUGGAACACAGCAUUCUAACCUGGAAGCUAGACUCUUUAAAUAGCGAUGUAUGUGUUGGUGUGCUCAGCAUGUUUAUAUUGAAUGUUUGGGUAGGGAUGGG